UACGUAGGGUGCAAGCGUUGUCCGGAAUUAUUGGGCGUAAAGAGCUCGUAGGCGGUCUGUCGCGUCGGCUGUGAAAACUCGGGGCUCAACCCCGAGCCUGCAGUCGAUACGGGCAGACUAGAGUCCGGCAGGGGAGACUGGAAUUCCUGGUGUAGCGGUGAAAUGCGCAGAUAUCAGGAGGAACACCGGUGGCGAAGGCGGGUCUCUGGGCCGGAACUGACGCUGAGGAGCGAAAGCGUGGGUAGCAAACAGG
rnacentral:rRNA from 1 species